UAUUCGAUAGCAGUAGCAUUUGCAACCUUGUGCAGUGAAGAACGGAUUAAUCAUUUGACCAAUUUAUACAAAUCAGAAAAAUGGCUUUGGAACAGUUCUGUUUCUGUUGUAAAUUACGUAACGGGGUAUUUAUCUGGGGUAGUCUGUGUAUUAUUCGUAGCUUCGUUGUAUUUGUUACAAUUGUUGCUGGUGGUGUUGCUAGUAGCGAUGUAUUCAUUGAGAUCGUUAACACGGGAGGUUAUGACGAUUCUAAUGGCGCACUUAGUUACACAAGCAGUCCGUACUCUACCUACAAAACGGACAGAUCAGCAGUGUUUUGGUUGAUUGUUACCGCUUCAGUUAUAGACUUCAUUUCAUCAGUUUUGUUGGUUGUAGGAGCUGUAAAGAGAAAUCAUUUUCUUAUGUUGCCGUGGAUUAUCUUGAACGGGAUUGCGUUGGUGCCUUUUGGAAUAGCCACUCUCUUUAUCCUAAUCAUAUUGCUGCCCAUAUAUUUACCCGUCUACAUUUGGUGGUGUAUUUGUUCAGCCUAUCAGAACAUACAA